CAGAGGUCUCAAGCGUUGUUCGGAUUCAUUGGGCGUAAAGGGUGCGUAGGUGGCGCGGUAAGUCGGGUGUGAAAUCUCGGAGCUUAACUCCGAAAUUGCAUUCGAUACUGCCGUGCUCGAGGACUGGAGAGGAGACUGGAAUUCAUGGUGUAGCAGUGAAAUGCGUAGAGAUCAUGAGGAAGACCAGUGGCGAAGGCGGGUCUCUGGACAGUUCCUGACACUGAGGCACGAAGGCCAGGGGAGCAAACGGGAUUAGAUACCCCGGUAGUCCUGGCAGUAAACGGUGCACGUUUGGUGUGGGAGGAUUCGACCCCUUCCGCGCCGGAGCUAACGCGUUAAACGUGCCGCCUGGGGAGUACGGUCGCAAGAUUA
rnacentral:rRNA from 1 species